AAUUUUUUCAAACCCUUGAUAUCAACACGUCUUUCUUCUUCUUCAUUGUUCUACCAUCCAUCGCAUAAUGUUCUCCCCACCACGUUCUUUUAUGACUACAAGCUACUCAAUCUGUUUUGCAUCAACGGAACGUUAAUUAGAUCUUAUAACAACAGUCCACGAUCCAGGGGAUACGAUUAUCAGGUAUUAAAUCUUCUUUUGCGUUUCAACCAUCCUAAAAUUUGGACCGCUUAAACCUUCUUUAAAGCUUUGAUUUUGAUUCGAUUUUAAAGUUUUGCUGAUGUAAAGAAGAAUUGUGUCAAUCAACGAUGGGUUGACUGAAAAUGGAAGACAUGUCUCUUAAUUUAUCAGAGCAUGUCAAGUUCACGUGCUUACAAACUUAAUCUGCUCCUCAAAUUUCAUUCGAUUGAGAGAGGAACGAUGGUUCAUGAUUGUUGCAAUUCUUAAGUUUUCUUUAUCUUUGUCUCUGUAAUCACGAUAUUAGAAAGUCAUGCAGUGGUUUUGUUGUUU